rnacentral:rRNA from 1 species
AACGAACGCUGGCGGCAUGUCUAACACAUGCAAGUCGAACGAGACCUUCGGGUCUAGUGGCGCACGGGUGCGUAACGCGUGGGAACCUGCCCUUAGGUUCGGAAUAACUCCCCGAAAGGGGUGCUAAUACCGGAUAAUGUCUUCGGACCAAAGAUUUAUCGCCUUUGGAUGGGCCCGCGUUGGAUUAGCUAGUUGGUAGGGUAAAAGCCUACCAAGGCGACGAUCCAUAGCUGGUCUGAGAGGAUGAUCAGCCACACUGGGACUGAGACACGGCCCAGACUCCUACGGGAGGCAGCAGUGGGGAAUAUUGGACAAUGGGCGAAAGCCUGAUCCAGCAAUGCCGCGUGAGUGAUGAAGGCCUUAGAGUUGUAAAGCUCUUUUACCCGGGAUGAUAAUGACAGUACCGGGAGAAUAAGCUCCGGCUAACUCCGUG